CAGCUACACAUGCAGUCGAGCGGAUGAGGGGAGCUUGCUCCCUGAUUUAGCGGCGGACGGGUGAGUAAUGCCUAGGAAUCUGCCUGGUAGUGGGGGAUAACGUUCCGAAAGGAACGCUAAUACCGCAUACGUCCUACGGGAGAAAGCAGGGGACCUUCGGGCCUUGCGCUAUCAGAUGAGCCUAGGUCGGAUUAGCUAGUUGGUGAGGUAAUGGCUCACCAAGGCGACGAUCCGUAACUGGUCUGAGAGGAUGAUCAGUCACACUGGAACUGAGACACGGUCCAGACUCCUACGGGAGGCAGCAGUGGGGAAUAUUGGACAAUGGGCGAAAGCCUGAUCCAGCCAUGCCGUGUGUGUGAAGAAGGUCUUCGGAUUGUAAAGCACUUUAAGUUGGGAGGAAGGGCAUUAACCUAAUACGUUAGUGUUUUGACGUUACCAACAGAAUAAGCACCGGCUAACUUCGUGCCAGCAGCCGCGGUAAUACGAAGGGUGCAAGCGUUAAUCGGAAUUACUGGGCGUAAAGCGCGCGUAGGUGGUUCGUUAAGUUGGAUGUGAAAGCCCCGGGCUCAACCUGGGAACUGCAUCCAAAACUGGCGAGCUAGAGUACGGUAGAGGGUGGUGGAAUUUCCUGUGUAGCGGUGAAAUGCGUAGAUAUAGGAAGGAACACCAGUGGCGAAGGCGACCACCUGGACUGAUACUGACACUGAGGUGCGAAAGCGUGGGGAGCAAACAGGAUUAGAUACCCUGGUAGUCCACGCCGUAAACGAUGUCAACUAGCCGUUGGAAUCCUUGAGAUUUUAGUGGCGCAGCUAACGCAUUAAGUUGA
rnacentral:rRNA from 1 species